CCCGGCUUUCGCUGUAACCCUUCGGGGGGGUGCUGGUGGGAACUCGUCGAACUGUCAUGUUGAGGCGUGAUCACCGUGUGGCCGUCUGGUGUGGGCGGGAGUCGACUCUGGUGGCUUCCCGUAGGGGUGGCUUCCGAGCCGUUGAAUGCGGCGGACCGCUUGAGGCUGGCAACAGAGCAGAGAAAAGCUUCAGCUUCUGCUACACAGCAGAUCGCGGCUCACAGUGCGCGCAUUCCACCAUCGUCAGGUCCUUCGCCGCGGACCUCCCAGCGUU
rnacentral:SRP_RNA from 1 species